AUGUACUUAUAACACUUUCUGGAUUUCAAAAUAACUAUUUUGAGGAUAAGAAAUACAAUUUACAUUUAAAAAACAUAAAAGAUGGUAUGUAUUUUUUGUGAUUUAAAAAAAAAAAGUUAUAUUGAUUAACACACACUAUAAGAUUAAUAUAGUUUUAUAACGG